rnacentral:lncRNA from 1 species
GGGGGGGGGAUAAGUAGUGUAAGGGUUGCCACAAUUGUCUGCCAUCAGAGGGGGUGAGGUUCAAUCCAUGCUUAGCCAAGACAUCUGCGGUAGUAUUUGCUUCGCGGUAGAUAUGCCUAAGCUCCACUUGACCCAACUCCAGUAUCAAUGACCUGCAAUCAGAAAGAAUGUGUGAGUGAAGUUCAUUUUCAUGUUCGAUCAUGGAGCAUAGUAUAUGCGAAUCAGUCUCUAUCUAAAGGGGAGACAAUUUUAAUUCCUUAGCUAACUGUAGACAAAUCAAAAGUGCUGAUAAUUCAGAUUCAGUUGCAGUGGAGCACUUCACGAAUUCAUUGACUGUUAUGAUUACAAAAAAUUCCCGUGGCACCAGCUUUUAGGGUAGCUGGAUCAAAGGCACCAUCCAUUUUAAGUUUGAAAAAACGUUCAGAUGGAGGGUGCCAUUUGAUAUAAAGAGUGUGCGUGACAGUUGUAGGAUGAUGAGCCAGUGAGAGAAAGUGAAAUUCUAUAAUAUGGUACAUAAUAUUAUUAACAGACACCUGAUUGUGAAGGUUAUUAAAAAGAUUAUGAUUAUGUGUUAUCCAAAUAUGCCAAAGAAUGAAGGGAACUAUUAACAUCGCAGGAACCUGAAGGCCUUGGUAGCUAAAGAGGUUUUGAGUUUGACGACAUUGAUCGUGAAGCCAAUCGUUAAAGUUGAGACCAGUACUGUUAACAUUGAAGAAAGUCCACAAUGGUUUGACGUUGCCGCAGUCCCAAAACAAGUGUUUUAUGAUUUUUGGAGCAAAACGACAUAAUUGACAGGUGGGAUGAGGAAGAAUACGUAAAGAGUGAAGGUAAGCAGCGGUAGGAAGUCGGUUUUGCAGCACUAACCAUAGGAAUAUAUUAAGUUAUUAGGUAUAUGUAAUUUCCAAAUCCAGGAGAGUGGGGCAGUAUUCAUCUCAGCAGAUUGAAGUUCCUGAAGAUAUAGUUGGUAUACCGAUUUCGUGAAAAAAAAUGUUGCUUUGAUUGGGGAACCAGCAGAACGUAUCGGGGCGUGAUGAGUAAGAGGUGAAGUAUGUACUAUGGAUGAGGGUAGAGAUAGUAGGAGGGAGGAUAAAAGAAAGAUUUUGAAAUUACCAUUGAUUAUUCUGUAAAAGGUGGGAUAGUGUUAAGAUAAAUUCAAAUAGUUGUAAGGGGCCGUGGAUAAGACUCAUAAUCGUGAAAUUGUUGGGAAGUCAAAUAUCAUGCCAAAAAUUGAUAUCCGAACCCGAUCCAAUAUGCCACUUAGUUUCCUUGGUAGUAAAUGCGUAACCCUUGAGGAGACUUUUCCAAAUAAAGGAAGCAUUGGCCCGAUAAGGAGUGUCAAGUGUGGUAGGUCGAUCUAGACGGUAUUUAGAAGAAAGAAUUUUAACCCAAGGGGCAUGGGGGUUGUGGCAGAAUCGCCAUGCUAAACCCG